ensembl:lncRNA
CUUCUAGGUGAAGGAUCAGAGCUACAUAAGACUUCCAUGCUUAUAACUCCUCUAUAAGACUUCCAUAAGGUGUUUAUAAGUCCUCUAUAAGCAGUGCUACAGCAUAGGCUUGCUCAAGUCCAAUAGGUCUGUGAUUUUCAUUUAAAAACAUAAGUAUAGUUUUGCGCCAACUGAAUAGCGAUAAUGGUGUUUUUACGAUGCUUAUAUUAGGCGUCUACAUGCAUGAAAUGACUUCAGUUGCACAGACAGUGCAAAAGUAAGUGUUUCCAAUGGGAAGAGAGGUCGCUCUAAAGGAGAGUCAAGAUGACUGUUCAAAUAAGGGUGUUUGUUAAUUCUGGUGUGCUUGUUGAUAUGUGUUGUAUUACGAGAUGUUGUAUUAUCUGUUAUUUUCAAUAAUGGAGAGUCUUACUUUAGUAGAAUGUUUGCACCUAGUGAUCAGUAAUAGAAUGUUUGCACCUAGUGAUCAGUGAGCUAGAAGUGGGUUGGGGAAGGUCUCUCUGGACACCUCAUGGUUUGACCAGGGUAUGGAAACUCUUUAAUAAAUAUUAUUGCUUUCAUGACCGAACUGUGGCGAUGAUGAAUUAACAACAUUCACCUCUUUCAGUGCACACAUUGGAAACAGUCCAGUUAGGUGUGAGUUAGGCAAAUGUACCUUCGUUGCAUAAAAUACAAGUUUCUUGUUAAAUUAGCGAAAGGUGGCUUUAUAAAAUGGGUACAUUUUAAACAAGCAGUGACCACAGGGGUAGACCGGAAGUGUGUCUUAGUCGUGCUGGAGAGCUAUUGCGCCUGACGAAUUAUUUUAGCUACAGGAGUGCCCAGAGGAGAGCCCACCUGAAAUCGACCACCACAAUGAGUAACAUAAUGCACUGCUUAAUGCGCGUUACUGGGAAUAAUUUGGUCAGGAACUGAAUUCCUUGUUUAUAAUAGGUCUUCUGAUAUGAGUUCUGAUGAGUGAAUAAUAUUGCAGAAAUACUGGCUGUGAGUCAUUCCUUAUUUUCAAUUAUCCAGUCCUUAUUUAGGUUUUCUAUGGAAAUGUCUGGUUAUACGAGAACAUUUUACAAAGGGAACUCUGAUAUAUUGAGAUGUGGCCUUGUAGAGUUUGUGUGUGUGUGUGUGUGUGUGUGUGUGUGUGUGUGUGUGUGUGAGUUUGUGUUUGUGUGUGUGUAUGUGUGUGAGUUUGUGUUUGUCUCAGAGGACAAAAUGUGCCUUUUGUAGACUUCAAGUUUAAGUAGCUUUGUCCUGCAUAAGAGAUGAGGAAAUGAGAAACAAUCACAAGUGCGAUAGACAUGCUCACAGCGCACGCACACACACACACACACACACCAGAUGUGUGUGUUACUUGUGUGUGACAGUGUGUACAAUGUGAGUUUUGCAUGCUACAAAAGAAGGAAAAAAAACACUUUCCAUACAUGCAUUUUCUCCAGUGGAACAAGCAUGUCAGGUGGCCCUUGUUGCUGGCAGUGUCA